GUGCAACGGAAUCCCUCCGGAACCUAUCAACCACGUAUGCCUGGGUCAGCUGUCGUGUCAGACACCAUCACCGGGUACGUGCGUGGCAUGGGGUGAUCCUCACUACAUCACGUUCGACAACCGCCGUCACGACUUCCAAGGAACGUGCAAAUACGUCCUGGUGCGUCACGCCGACUUCACGGUGGCAGUCCGUAACGUCCACCGUCCCGGUCAUAGCCAGCAAGUAGCCUUCUGCGACCGUGUGGAGGUGACAGUGUACGGGUACAAAAUCCAGAUUCGCAGCGGGAGC